CCUACGGGUGGCAGCAGUGAGGAAUAUUAGUCAAUGGACGAGAGUCUGAACCAGCCAAGUAGCGUGAAGGAUGACUGCCCUAUGGGUUGUAAACUUCUUUUAUAUGGGAAUAAAAUGUUCCACGUGUGGGAUUUUGUAUGUACCAUAUGAAUAAGGAUCGGCUAACUCCGUGCCAGCAGCCGCGGUAAUACGGAGGAUCCGAGCGUUAUCCGGAUUUAUUGGGUUUAAAGGGAGCGUAGGUGGAUUGUUAAGUCAGUUGUGAAAGUUUGCGGCUCAACCGUAAAAUUGCAGUCGAAACUGGCAGUCUUGAGUACAGUAGAGGUGGGCGGAAUUCGUGGUGUAGCGGUGAAAUGCUUAGAUAUCACGAAGAACUCCGAUUGCGAAGGCAGUUCACUGGACUGCAACUGACACUGAGGCUCGAAAGUGUGGGUAUCAAACAGGAUUAGAUACCCCUGUAGUC
rnacentral:rRNA from 1 species